AACGAACGCUGGCGGCAUGCCUAACACAUGCAAGUCGAACGCGACCUUCGGGUCGAGUGGCGCACGGGUGCGUAACACGUAGGUGAUCUGCCUCAAAGUGGGGGAUAACCACGAGAAAUCGUGGCUAAUACCGCAUGUGCUUGUCGGGGUUUGAGUCCGAUAAGGAAAGAUUCAUUGCUUUGAGAGGAGCCUGCGGCCUA
rnacentral:rRNA from 1 species